GGGAUAUACGUCAGCCAUAGGUGUUUGAAUCCGGAAAUGUAAAACCUUUGGGGGUUGACUUAAUGAAGGACGUUCAAGAUUUGUUGAGGAUUAUUCAAGCAAAAUGUUACUACCGGAAUCUAGACCCCAGGUGAGACCGGCGUCGUUGACCUCUCAAAGGUCGCAGACAAGCCUACUUACGUCAUUCUUACUUUACAUAGGUUAAUUUUUGCGGAAAAAUUUGAAACAUUUCUUUCUUAUCGUACUUAUAAAAAAUUCUCAUUAAUACGUAAUUGUUCAGCAUCAACCAUCUAACAUUAUGAGCUAAGCAACUGAAAGAAACAGUCCAAUUCUUAUUAAGUGUAUAAUUGCCAAAAUGGCACCAAUACAUAGUCUGAAUAAAAAUAGGAAAGAAACGCUAGUGGAACAUUGUCCACUAGCUAAACUCUAAAAAUAAUUUAGAAUAUAAAACACCAGCUCCCUCGAAAACAUGAGGACAAACCAAAGCCGGAUGAAUGAUGAAUGUCCGGAUAACUGCAGCGAUGAUCAUGUAGUUCUAUCGUCCACCUGUGCAUGCACCUAAAAUAGUAAAGUUUGUAUAGGGUUAGUACACACUUAUACUAAGUAUGGGUAUAUUCAAGCACACACCGCGGACAUGCAUGAGAAAAAACAUAGCUUUCCUAACAACAUUAUUUUUGGAAGUCAUGUUAGUAGACUUGAAAAAUCGAGAUUAGGGAAGUUAGUGAAUUUUCCAAAUUCGGUUAGGAAGGUCAUGCCAUGAGAGUAACAUGCAUCAUCAUAAGUAUCAUAUUGCACACAACACGUAACAUCUUCAUAUAGUACAUACCAUUGCACAUAACAUAUAACACAUAGUUUCGUUCAUAUCAUUAAUUCAUAUGCCAUGAUACCUUGGAAGUAAUGGACUUGAUAUUAAGACUUUUCAAAAUGAAGGCUCAACAUAUGGGACCUCAACUAGGGAGUCUUCAUUAGCAAACACAAAGUCUGUUUCAUCCAUGCAUACGUACUUCAUUUCAUUUGAUUCAUAGGCCAGUGUGAACACCAUCUAUACCUAGGAUCUAGUUUAAGACGUUCAUCGCGUUUGCUGUGUAAUGAUCAGGAACAACCUAAUGUCAUUACCUGAGUGUAGAUCACCUCUUGAUUAUCCUAUCCUAACACAUUCGGUAUCAUUCAUUUCUUUAAAUGCUUCAUUUGAGUCUGACUUCAUUCAUUCAUUGGGAACUUUAACUUUAACCAACAUAGAUCAGGUGAGCAUCAUGAAAACCAUUGUCUCCCUUACACUGAAAAGAGGUGGAAUCACUGGCCAAAGUGACUCAAUAACAUGCUAGUGUAUAUGGGAAUUUAACCACACCAGAUCCCUAUAUUGGAAGUAUAUGUUCAAAGUCUACGAGAUGUAUGGAUACCCAUACCUAGCAAGCCGGACAGUCUCAUCUCAUGAGAGUUAUGUGAACCUUCCCUUAUCCUGAAAGAAGGCAUUACCGCUCAUAGCUAGCCUAUCCGUGGUCAUUGUAAAGUUCAAUUACAUUAAACUCAUACUUAAUGGAAGUUGGCUUCUAGUAUGAGGACAACAUAGCUCAUUCGAUUAUUCUCAUAUCAUCAUUACUAUUAAGUGUGUUAAACUCAACACUUUCAUUAGAGUGUUCGUAGAUAUUGGUCUCUUCAUUAUCUUACACUCCCCAACAACCCCUUUGAUUUUUAGAGUUAAAUUCGCUACAAUAUGGAGGUUGUGGGCUCAAACCCCCACAACCCCCCUUAUAUUUUUUUUUAAAUUUCGCUUAGGAGGCUAUAAGAUGGUGGGUUCAAACCCCACAACCCCUCUAUCAUUAUUUUAUUUUAAUGGGUGAGUGACAAUGAGGUUUGUGGUAUCGAAUCCCCACAGCCUCACUUUAUUUCCUUGUUAUUUUGCCUUUUCCUUCAGCGCUGAGGUCGUGGGUUCUAUCCUCACGCCUCAUAUUUUCUUUUUUCAUUAUUUCCUCUCUCUUUGCGCGUACUAGGAGGUCGUGGGUUUGAAUCCUACGCCUCCCAUUUACUUGUUUACUUAUAUUUUUUCUCCUUCUCCUCCUGAUAGGUCGCGAUUUUGAUUCCCCACCAGCCCCAUUUCAUUUUUACCGCAAAACAGGAGCUAGGAUAAAAACCCGCAGCCCCCAUUUUCUUUUUUCUUUGCCUAUGCAAACCACUAACUAAGGGGUUUGAUUCCCCUUAGCUCCUUCACAUUUUCUCUUAUUUUUUAAGCCUGCUCAACAUAUGAGGUCCUUGUUUCAAUUCCCAUCGAACUCACUUAUUUAUUUCUCUUUUUAAAAAGCCCAAAAAUUAACCUUAUGGGAGAGUAUGCAAUCUAGACUUUUUUUCUUAUCAUUCUUCACUCAUUUUUAGUCACCUCUUUCAUGAGUUUGCAUAGCUAAAAGAGUUUUAUUCAACCCAAAAUUUUUCAUUAUAAUGAACACUACAUUUCACACACAUUACACACAUAAAAUACACCAAAAAAAUGAAUAUUCAACCCCAAAAGUGUGGCUAAAGCCAGUGCCCACAAUGCACACACAACACCAAUUUUUGGUUACACUUCGAAUAUCGUUUUCAUAAUUUCCCUCACAUUAAAUGUGUUCACACAUAAUAUAAAUACAUCAAUCAAGCCUAAGUCUAGCAACACAACAUACCUAUCCUAUGAAUUCGUUUGGAUCUAGGACAAGGACAUACAAAGGGGGACAACCUUAUUUCUCAAGAGCAUGAGAAACCUUCGAAAGAAAGUACUCUUGGAGAAAGAAUUCCAGCAGAGAAAACCCAUACCUUUUGUUGUUGUUCAACUGUGAAGCUGCUCCCGGAAACUCCUCCAAACCAUGCACAAUUCACUUCAACGUACACCCCACUCGACGAGCCUCUCUUAGACUUGACGUUUUGAUUACAUUGUCUUUUACUUAAAAAUUCUUGUGAGUUCCUCAAGUGUGAAGAACUCUUGAUGUAUUUUUUUGUU
rnacentral:lncRNA from 1 species